rnacentral:rRNA from 1 species
GCUCAACCGGGGAGGGUCAUUGGAAACUGGGGAACUUGAGUGCAGAAGAGGAGAAUGGAAUUCCACGUGUAGCGGUGAAAUGCGUAGAGAUGUGGAGGAACACCAGUGGCGAAGGCGACUCUCUGGUCUGUAACUGACGCUGAGGCGCGAAAGCGUGGGGAGCGAACAGGAUUAGAUACCCUGGUAGUCCACGCCGUAAACGAUGAGUGCUAAGUGUUAGAGGGUUUCCGCCCUUUAGUGCUGCAGCAAACGCAUUAAGCACUCCGCCUGGGGAGUACGGUCGCAAGACUGAAACUCAAAGGAAUUGACGGGGGCCCGCACAAGCGGUGGAGCAUGUGGUUUAAUUUGAAGCAACGCGAAGAACCUUACCAGGUCUUGACAUCCUCUGACAACCCUAGAGAUAGGGCUUCCCCUUCGGGGGCAGAGUGACAGGUGGUGCAUGGUUGUCGUCAGCUCGUGUCGUGAGAUGUUGGGUUAAGUCCCGCAACGAGCGCAACCCUUGAUCUUAGUUGCCAGCAUUCAGUUGGGCACUCUAAGGUGACUGCCGGUGACAAACCGGAGGAAGGUGGGGAUGACGUCAAAUCAUCAUGCCCCUUAUGACCUGGGCUACACACGUGCUACAAUGGGCAGAACAAAG